AAUGGCCGAAAGGGCUGACCCAGCAACACCGCGUGAGUGAAGAUGGCCUUCGGGUUGUAAAGCUCUGUUGCCCGUGAAGAACGGUGCAGGCAGGAAAUGGUCUGUACUUGACGGUAGCGGGAGAGGAAGCUCCGGCUAACUACGUGCCAGCAGCCGCGGUAAUACGUAGGGAGCGAGCGUUGUCCGGAUUUAUUGGGCGUAAAGGGCGUGUAGGCGGCCUGUUAAGUCUGAAGUGAAAAUCCAGGGCUCAACCCUGGAACUGCUUCGGAUACUGAUGGGCUUGAGUGCUCUAGAGGGUAGUGGAAUUGCCGGUGUAGCAGUGAAAUGCGUAGAGAUCGGCAGGAACACCAGUGGCGAAGGCGACUGCCUGGGGAGUAACUGACGCUGAGGCGCGAAAGCUGGGGGAGCAAACGGGAUUAGAUACCCCGGUAGUCCCAGCCGUAAACGAUGAGUGCUAGGUGUAGCGGGUAUCGACCCCCGCUGUGCCGCAGUUAACGCAUUAAGCACUCCGCCUGGGGAGUACG
rnacentral:rRNA from 1 species